rnacentral:rRNA from 1 species
AUUGAACGCUGGCGGCAGGCCUAACACAUGCAAGUCGAACGAGUGGCGGACGGGUGAGUAGUGUCUGGGAAACUGCCUGAUGGAGGGGGCUGACUCCUGGAACCGGUAGCUAAUGCCGCAUAACAUCCGCUGUGCCCAGAUGGGAUUAGCUUGUUGGUGGGGUAACGGCUCACCAAGGCGACGAUCCCUAGCUGGUCUGCGAGGAUGACCAGCCACACUGGAACUGAGACACGGUCCAGACUCCUACGGGAGGCAGCAGUGGGGAAUCUUGCACAAUGGGCGAAAGUCUGAUGCAGCCACGCCGCGUGUAGGAAGAAGGUUUUCGGGUUGUAAAGUACUUUCAUCGGAGAGGCGGUACCCGCAGAAAAAGCACCGGCUAACUACGUGCCAGCAGCCGCGGUAAUAC